rnacentral:rRNA from 1 species
UACGUAGGGGGCUAGCGUUGUCCGGAAUCAUUGGGCGUAAAGCGCGUGUAGGCGGUCCGGUAAGUCCGCUGUGAAAGUCGGGGGCUCAACCCUCGGAUGCCGGUGGAUACUGUCGGGCUUGAGUACGGAAGAGGCGAGUGGAAUUCCUGGUGUAGCGGUGAAAUGCGCAGAGUAUCAGGAGGAACACCGGUGGCGAAGGCGGGACGUCUGGGCCGAUGACUGACGCUGAGGAGCGAA